rnacentral:rRNA from 1 species
CGCGUGAGUGAAGAAGGUUUUCGGAUCGUAAAGCUCUGUUGUUGGUGAAGAAGGAUAGAGGUAGUAACUGGCCUUUAUUUGACGGUAAUCAACCAGAAAGUCACGGCUAACUACGUGCCAGCAGCCGCGGUAAU